GCACGUAGCCAGGGGGGGGGGGGGCUAGAGGGCUGAAGCCCCCCCCGAAAUAAGGAAAUUUUUUAAAUAAAUCGCAAAUAAAAAAGAUUUAUCACUGACUGAAUCUUUUGAAACUCUUAUACACAACUCAGCUCAAACCUAUAACAGUCGUACGCAACUACACUAGACGGUGACUGAAAACUUAUCAAAAGUCAUACUUAAGCGUUGUACAGAUCUCCAUCUUGAUAUGGCGAAGUUGGUUGGACAGGGAUAUGACGGAGCAGCAAACAUGUCAGGGCAUUUAAGUGGAGUGCAAACCAGGAUAAGACAACUGUAUCCAAAAGCACGAUAUGUUCAUUGCGCUAGUCACCGAUUGAACCUUGCGCUUUCUAAUACUAUGUCAUUACCUUCAAUACGGAACUGCCUUGGACGUUAUACAGAAGCACGCACCAGAAAGCAAAAAAAGACGACUUGUUCGCCUUUGUGAAACAAGGUUUAUAGAAAGGCAUGAAAGCAUUAUAAGCUUUGUGGAGAUUUUCAAAUUCAUUGUACUAAGUUUGGAAAUAAUUUCGAGUAAGACAUGGUCCAUUUCGUCUAAAGCAUCAGCCUUCUUAGCAGCGGUAGAGAAAAGCGAUUUUUUGCUUAGUCUAUUCGUCUGUGAGCAAUUGUUCAGCUUAACGCUACCACUGUCUGUGCAACUCCAAGAAAAAUCUAUGGAUUUUGUAUCAGCAAUGAACCGAGCCAAAGAAUUAAUAAGAACUCUGCACCAGAUAAGAGAAACAGCGGAUGGUUUUUUCAACGAUAUUUUCCAAACAGCAUCACAAAUGUCUAAAGAUCUUUUUGACAUAGAUCUUGUAGUGCCUAGAGUGACUUCGCGUCAAACUACUCGUGCUAAUCCACCUUGCACAACCCCUGAAAGCCACUUCAGAGUUACAAUAUUUAUUCCAUGCGUUGAUGCUCUGAUUCAAAACAUGACAGAACGUUUAUUAGUGAAUGAGGAUAUACUCUCGUCAUUUCAAAUUCUACUCCCAUGUUUUGCUGCAAUUGAUAAUGCCGAAGAAUUAAAAAAUUUAACUAUUUACUUCGAGGAGCAAAUAUCAAUGACAGCAUUAAAGAGUAUCGAUUGAGGUGUGCCAGCUUAUCAACAAUAGAUCCAACCAUAGAAGUGUUGAAAUUACUGCAACAUUGCGAUGCAACGUAUUUUAAAAAUAUUCACUACCUGCUUACAAUUUUACCAACUCUUCCAGUGACGACCGCUUCCUUCGAAAGAACUUCUUCAACCUUAAAAAGAAUAAAAACUUUACCACGCAGUGUGAUGGGCAAUGAGCGGCUGAGUGCACUUGCUGUUAUUGCAGUGCACUGGGAUAUUAAAAUAGAUCCAGUAAUUAAUGAUAUGGCAAGCAAGAAGAAAAGAAAAAUAUUACUUAUUUAAGUUACAACUACCAAAUAAUUUAAGUAAUAUGUAUAUGAAUUUAUAUUGUUUUUUUUUUUAAUAAACAGAAAAUUUAAAGUUUAUAUAUGUUUUUACUUCAGCCCCCCCC